UGUUUCUUAUCACUCCAGACCACAAAGUCAAUGAAGAGAGGAAAGGAAUCUAAAGUCAGAAGCCAGGUGCCUGUCCAUAGUGGCACCUCCAGUGCUGCCAAGUUAAAUGGAAGUUCGCACCGGUUCGCUAUCUGGUGACUUUCUUGCAAACUCCUGGAGUUAAAUGGGAUCUACUAAGUUAUUCCUGUGCCACUAAGAAGGGGGGGACUAAAAGGCGUGAAUAAAUGGCCAAACAGACCCUGCAGGGCCCGCACAAUAGAUAUCAAAGCUUUGUGGAUAAUGAAUGGAGCCCACUCUUUGGGUUGCUGCACACGUCUGCACCAGCUUGGUAGAACCGGGGGAGCACAAGUGACACCUAUUUUUGGAGCUGUGAGAAAACAAGUGCAAGAAAUCGAAUCAUUCCUUCCAAUGCAAAUGACUUUUUUAAUUCUCGUAACUCAGCUACUCCUCCUUUGUUCUGUGAGACAGAAACAGACUGGCUCCUCUCGGAUUCUGCCAAACCUGCUAAUUGCCCUUUGAUAACCCCAAGUGAUCCCUCAGCCCCACGACUGAUUUCAGCAACGUCGUCUAGUUUCAUGUGCCAACUCACAAGAGGUCCGAGAGACACAGCAGCUAGAAAACAGUGCAGGAACUUAAUUACCAUAUGAAAGGCGUGACCUGUGGCCAGUCUGAGUGUUGAUGAGGUCAAAAUCUACUCGGCUCAAAAAAAAGUGCUUCGGUUUUCAUUCUGCACCUGAUCUACGGGGAAAGGAAUUUAAGACACAGCAAUGAUGGGAAAGAGAAGAAUAUUACAGAAAAAUCUACUGCCAUCACAAGCAUCCCAUAACUGCCUGACAAUAAAUAAUAAGCGAGGAUUAACAAAUACAACCUUAAGAAGAGACCAAAGAGAGUCUUUUGAUAAAAUUAUAUCAGAUGAUAUAGCUAAAAAAGUGCUGCCAGGCUGGAAACUUGAAGCUCGGUGGGCAAAAGAUAAUUAUGACCAGUAUAAUAGGUGAUCACUAAGGACUUGAUAGGCAAGCAGACUGGACCUCACAUAUAUAAGAAACAAGCCAUUUUAAUGCCUCCUUAGAUGCCUCCGUUGUUGGUCAACCAAUAAGAUUGAACAACUAUGUGGGACCUGGAUUUCAUAUAAAGCCGCAACUCGGCAAGAUCGGGAAGGCAACAUGGUAUCGGGAGUUGUACAAAACUAAUUUAUGUAAAGCUAUGGCUGGAUCAAAUUAACAGCAGCAGCUGAUAUAAACACAGGAGUAACCGGAGGGUUUUUUGAUACUAAGAGGGUCUUUUUUGUGAAGUAAUUUAGAGGAGGAGUAUGAACCAACUGGAAGCAGCAUCUGUUAAUGCAACAGGUAUAGUGGGCCCCAGGAACAAGAGAAAUAGUUAUAGAAAGAGUCUAUAUGAAGCAGAAAAUCUGUAUGUAGAUAUAUUAUCUAUAUAUGAAGCAAUAAGAUGAGUGUUACACAGGUAAUAUAGAACAAUAUAAUUGUUAUCAUUAUAAUAUAUAAUCAUACUUUAAAUAUAAUUAUACUUUAAUAAGGGAAUAGUAAAAGGUUAUAGCUAUAGAAGUAUGUAGAGAGAAGAUAGAGCAAUUGUCACUUAUAGAAGGAUAAUACUGUAUAUGUUAUGGUGGAGUUAUAUAGAGGAAUAGGAAUUAUACACUGAGGUUAAAUUUAAGUUUCUUGAACUUUUAUUUCUUGGCACCCAUAAUAUUUUUUAAACCUGUCUAAAAACCUGGUGAGGGCAAACUGGAUAUUUUGUCAGCCACAAUAAAGCCACAGUAAAGUGUGCUCGAAAUGCCUGUAUGCAUUUUGCACAAAGUAGUGAUAUAUUAUAUAUAUUGUACAUACCGUGAAAUGAAUAAGUAGCCACACAAAGGUAUUUUUUUACAUGAUUACAUGAGGGUUGUGGGGGGGCCACAAAAUGCCCCUUGUAUCAUUGCCCUAAGAAUAUUUUUUAACUUAUCUUACUGUCUUCUGUAUGAAGAACUUUUUCUGUAUUUAAGAGCAUCAUGGGAACCCACCUUAAACAGCAUGGGCCCAUUUUUUGCAAUAAUCCCUGUGUUAUAUGGAGCAAUAGGAAACGUUUUGCAAAAUAAGGUUUAAUUGAGCUAUAGUAGGAAGAAGAGAGUGAGGUUAUAUUGGGCAAUACAAAAAAGUAUAGAAAGCAACUAUAAUGUACAAUAGUAGUUGUAUCUAAAUAUAUAGAGCAAUCAGUGAUAUUAAUGGGGUUAUAUGUAGUUAUAUUGUAGUCUCACUUAUUAAACCAAGAAAAAUAACUUCAGUAGAAAGAGGUUUGUUAGUUGUAGAAAGUUUUAGGACUGAAAAAAAAUGUUUGCAUACAAAAAGUUGCAGAAGCAGUUGUAUAAGAAUCAUUCUCUGAAGAAAUAUGGUAGUCAGCAUAUUGAGUAUUCAACCCCUUCAUGGAAUGACUGACUUUUCCUUGUCAUUGUAAUCCAUCACAGACCUCCUACUAUGUGAGCGUUCAUCUAUAACCAAUUCUCCUUAAAAGAACCACAGCUUACAAGUGAUUUCAGGAUUUUAUGGGGUCUGAGACAAGGAUAAAAACACGAGGAUUAAUGGUUAUAAACUAUUAUUAACUCUUCUUGGCCUGAGCCAUUAAUAAGAAAAAUCACAGUUUAUUACUGUCUAGGUUGUAGCACUAAUCUACUACUGUUAUUCAGAUACUAGUUCCUACAGGUGCUAUAGUGUUUGUUUCUAGACCACAGGGAUUGAAACACAGAAACAAGAGAAUGUACAAUAUGGUGCAAUAUGGUGUACAAGCUAUCAAGUAGCUAAGUGCCUUGGAACCUCCAUAAAUCUGUAGGAAGAGCCAUAAACCCAAUAGAAGUUUGGGUAUACACACGCUAAGCAUCAGCAGGGAAGCAUCUGCUCCAGGAGUUUAUUCAUUAAACUAAUUGUCAUUGUUUACAGCCAUGCUCCUAUUCUGAUGAACUACUUAAAUGAACAGGCUAAAUUAAAAUAACAAUCCAAACCAAGUAACUGUCAUCGUUAGCUUUUGUUUUCCUACAAUAGGAAGCCAAAGAAAUCAAAGCUCCUUGGGAUAAAGGUAUAAAGGACAAGUGGGAAAGAGGAUCAAUACACACACGUAGAAGAUGAGGAAUUUAUUUUGAGUGGUAUGCCCUGUGCGUCACUUGCACAGAAUAUAAAAUUAAGGUAUAGUGGCCCUCUAAAAGGUAAAUAGGGGUUAUAUCCCAAUUAUCUUAGUGUUGUCAAUAGUGAAAGAGGAGGAUACAAAAGUUACUUGUUUAUGCGUUUUAAAUAAGUGACAGCUAUUGCUUCCACCAUUUGCAUUGAGCAUGUACCUCCUGCUGUGCAUACCCACUACUGAGGGCACAGUGUAGCCAGUUACAGUAUAAAAUGCCAAGGUCACGGACAUUUUUGCACCCUAAUACACCUGCAGACACUGUACAAGUUACAUGAGGAUGACAGUCAAAUUAAACUGAGGAUUUCCUGAAUCCAUUCACAUUAUGGUUUAGCGAAAAACAACAGCACCAUGCAUGCUGGUAUUGCCAAUACAGUGUUCUCUGACACCAUAAAGAACUACCUGAGUACCUGCCAUUAGUGUCUUGUUGUACUACAAAAGUUGAGAAUUGAGGGAAUUUUACAUAUUUUUCUUCAAAUGAAAGACAUGCAAAAAACCUACAUAUUUUGUUACAGUAAAUCAAAGGCACAAUGAGCCACAGACAAGUUUCCCACUAAGUAAGUUUGUUGGCUCAUGCCAACACAAAGGACUGGUGACACAAGACUGUCACUGUCUGGGUCACUUUGUCAUGCUAAGCACUGUAGCCUAAUUAGACCCCUCUUUAGUCACUUAUCUUUUGUGACCCCAAGUGUUAAACACACUGGAUCAGACUGGAAUCCAAAUGGGAGUAUAAACAGAUGCUGAGGGUCUCAUUGGAACUCAUUAGUAUUCAUCAAAAUGUGAGAGUGGCCAACAGUCCCCCUCCUGCUCUAUGCAGCACUGAGGGAAUGCAGAGGAGGCAAUGUACUAGGAAAAUAUUGGGGCAGCAAGUAUAUGGUUUUUUUUUUAAUGAAAACUUUGAAACAUGAUGGUUCAUUUGUGGUUAAUGAUUUAAUAAAAACAUUUUAAAGCUGC